CAUUUGCAAAACGAUUUCAAAAUCAGUGAUGCCACUUCCCCCAGCCACCAGACCUGCAGGGCCCAGGAGAUGCUUGUGUGAGGAGGGGUCUGGAGGUGGAACUUUCUAGCAAACAGCACCUUAGAACAGCGUUGUGCUGCAGAGGGCUGAGCUCCCUGUCGGGAGGAACAUGGACGCCUUGGGGAGCUGUUGGGCUGUCCGGCUGAGACCUGGCCUUCUCUAGAAGGAAUCAGACAGCAGGCACAUUCCCAGAGCGGGCUCACUGGGUGGAAUGGCAACUGUGGGUUUAAAUGUGUGAGGCACACACAGUCCCACAGCAUUGGCGCCACGGCCCAUCCCCAGCAACACAGGCAGCUCUGACUCCCCAACACCCAGUGCUGGCCGUGGUCUGGCUUUGGAUGGCAGCCGUCCUGGUUGUUCUGACGUGCAUUUCUCU